rnacentral:rRNA from 1 species
AGACCCGAAACCCGGUGAUCUAGCCAUGGGCAGGUUGAAGGUUGGGUAACACUAACUGGAGGACCGAACCGACUAAUGUUGAAAAAUUAGCGGAUGACCUGUGGCUGGGGGUGAAAGGCCAAUCAAACCGGGAGAUAGCUGGUUCUCCCCGAAAGCUAUUUAGGUAGCGCCUCGUGAAUUCAUCUCCGGGGGUAGAGCACUGUUUCGGCUAGGGGGCCAUCCCGGCUUACCAACCCGAUGCAAACUGCGAAUACCGGAGAAUGUUAUCACGGGAGACACACGGCGGGUGCUAACGUCCGUCGUGAAGAGGGAAACAACCCAGACCGCCAGCUAAGGUCCCAAAGUCAUGGUUAAGUGGGAAACGAUGUGGGAAGGCCCAGACAGCCAGGAUGUUGGCUUAGAAGCAGCCAUCAUUUAAAGAAAGCGUAAUAGCUCACUGGUCGAGUCGGCCUGCGCGGAAGAUGUAACGGGGCUAAACCAUGCACCGAAGCUGCGGCAGCGACACUCAGGUGUUGUUGGGUAGGGGAGCGUUCUGUAAGCCUGUGAAGGUGGCCUGUGAGGGUUGCUGGAGGUAUCAGAAGUGCGAAUGCUGACAUAAGUAACGAUAAAGCGGGUGAAAAGCCCGCU